rnacentral:rRNA from 1 species
AACGAACGCUGGCGGCAUGCCUAACACAUGCAAGUCGAACGAGACCUUCGGGUCUAGUGGCGCACGGGUGCGUAACGCGUGGGAACCUGCCCUUAGGUUCGGAAUAACUCCCCGAAAGGGGUGCUAAUACCGGAUAAUGUCUUCGGACCAAAGAUUUAUCGCCUUUGGAUGGGCCCUCAUUGGAUUAGCUAGUUGGUAGGGUAAAAGCCUACCAAGGCGACGAUCCAUAGCUGGUCUGAGAGGAUGAUCAGCCACACUGGGACUGAGACACGGCCCAGACUCCUACGGGAGGCAGCAGUGGGGAAUAUUGGACAAUGGGCGAAAGCCUGAUCCAGCAAUGCCGCGUGAGUGAUGAAGGCCUUAGGGUUGUAAAGCUCUUUUACCCGGGAUGAUGAUGACAGUACCGGGAGAAUAAGCUCCGGCUAACUCCGUG